UGGCGCAUACAAAGAGAAGCGACCUCGCGAGAGCAAGCGGACCUCAUAAAGUGCGUCGUAGUCCGGAUUGGAGUCUGCAACUCGACUCCAUGAAGUCGGAAUCGCUAGUAAUCGUGGAUCAGAAUGCCACGGUGAAUACGUUCCCGGGCCUUGUACACACCGCCCGUCACACCAUGGGAGUGGGUUGCAAAAGAAGUAGGUAGCUUAACCUUCGGGAGGGCGCUUACCACUUUGUGAUUCAUGACUGGGGUGAAGUCGUAACAAGGUAACCGUAGGGGAACCUGCGGUUGGAUCACCUCCUUACCUUAAAGAA
rnacentral:rRNA from 2 species